AGUGAACGCUGGCGGUAGGCCUAACACAUGCAAGUCGAACGGCAGCACAGUAAGAGCUUGCUCUUACGGGUGGCGAGUGGCGGACGGGUGAGGAAUACAUCGGAAUCUACUUUUUCGUGGGGGAUAACGUAGGGAAACUUACGCUAAUACCGCAUACGACCUACGGGUGAAAGCAGGGGAUCUUCGGACCUUGCGCGAUUGAAUGAGCCGAUGUCGGAUUAGCUGGUUGGCGGGGUAAAGGCCCACCAAGGCGACGAUCCGUAGCUGGUCUGAGAGGAUGAUCAGCCACACUGGAACUGAGACACGGUCCAGACUCCUACGGGAGGCAGCAGUGGGGAAUAUUGGACAAUGGGCGCAAGCCUGAUCCAGCCAUACCGCGUGGGUGAAGAAGGCCUUCGGGUUGUAAAGCCCUUUUGCUGGGAAAGAAAAGCAGCAGGUUAAUACCCCGCUGUUCUGACGGUACCCAAAGAAUAAGCACCGGCUAACUUCGUG
rnacentral:rRNA from 1 species